GGAGAAUACCGUGCCGCUCGAUGAUUGCUGCGUUAUUCAUUUCAACCGACCAGCCAUAACAAAAAGCGAAGGAACUUACUUUUUGCUGAGUUUUGAGUCCCCGUCCGCCGCCGCCGCCGCUGUUGCAUCCGCCAUGUUGCAUCAUCUAUUUCUGUAGUUUCCCUUAUCUCUAACCAGUCUGAAGAAAGGUCUUGACUCGAAACGUCACCCAUUCCUUCUCUCCAGAGAUGCUGCCUGUCCCGCUGAGUUACUCCAGCUAUCUAUCUCCGGCUACUGAAAAGUCCAACUGGGGCAAUCACUGAAGAAAAUUCCAUUUUAUUUUAGGAAUAAAUAGCAAUAUGCACACCACUUUUAUUUAAUAAAUUAAUUUAUACAAUUG